UGGGGAAUAUUGCACAAUGGGCGCAAGCCUGAUGCAGCCAUGCCGCGUGUAUGAAGAAGGCCUUCGGGUUGUAAAGUACUUUCAGCGAGGAGGAAGGCGUUGUGGUUAAUAACCGCAACGAUUGACGUUACUCGCAGAAGAAGCACCGGCUAACUCCGUGCCAGCAGCCGCGGUAAUACGGAGGGUGAAAGCGUUAAUCGGAAUUACUGGGCGUAAAGCGCACGCAGGCGGUCUGUCAAGUCGGAUGUGAAAUCCCCGGGCUCAACCUGGGAACUGCUUCCGAAACUGGCAGGCUAGAGUCUUGUAGAGGGGGGUAGAAUUCCAGGUGUAGCGGUGAAAUGCGUAGAGAUCUGGAGGAAUACCGGUGGCGAAGGCGGCCCCCUGGACAAAGACUGACGCUCAGGUGCGAAAGCGUGGGGAGCAAACA
rnacentral:rRNA from 1 species